AUGCAACGCGAAGAACCUUACCAUCCCUUGACAUGUAGAGAACUUUCUAGAGAUAGAUUGGUGCCUUCGGGAACUCUAACACAGGUGCUGCAUGGCUGUCGUCAGCUCGUGUCCUGAGAUGUUGGGUUAAGUCCCGCAACGAGCGCAACCCUUAUCAUUAGUUGCUAACAUUUAGUUGAGAACUCUAAUGAGACUGCCCGUGAUAAACCGGAGGAAGGCGGGGACGACGUCAAGUCAUCAUGGCCCUUAUGGGAUGGGCUACACACGUGCUACAAUGGGGGGUACAAAGAGCAGCCAACUGGCAACAGUGCGCGAAUCUCAAAAAACCCUUCGUAGUCCGGAUUGGAGUCUGCAACUCGACUCCANGAAGUCGGAAUCGCUAGUAAUCGCGGAUCAGAAUGCCGCGGUGAAUACGUUCCCGGGCCUUGUACACACCGCCCNUCACA
rnacentral:rRNA from 1 species